rnacentral:rRNA from 1 species
UACGAAGGGGGCUAGCGUUGUUCGGAAUUACUGGGCGUAAAGCGCACGUAGGCGGAUAUUUAAGUCGGGGGUGGAAUCCCGGGGCUCAACCCCGGAACUGCCUUCGAUACUGGGUAUCUUGAGUUCGGAAGAGGUGAGUGGAAUUGCGAGUGUAGAGGUGAAAUUCGUAGAUAUUCGCAGGAACACCAGUGGCGAAGGCGGCUCACUGGUCCGAUACUGACGCUGAGGUGCGAAAGCGUGGGGAGCAAACAGG